AUCAGCUGGCAGCCCUGGACUCGAUAGAGCGCCGGGCUCAUAUACUUUUUGGCGAUGGCUGUCAAAUCAAAGUUACAAAGCCUCGAUCAUAUCAUCGCCGACGAGUUACAUGUCUAUCGGUGUUCUAUCGGAUAUAUUCUAGGGAGUGCGCAAAAGAAUGUGUUAUUCCCACUAGUUACCACCAAGUUCUUACCAGUGGUAACUACUGGGCAUUUUUUCCCACCUUUUACCACUGGUAAAAAAAAAUCCCACUAGUUACCACCAACUCGGCUUGGUGGUAACUACUGGGAAUUUUUAUUCCCAGUAGUUACCACCAAAAUAUUGUUAGAAUUCAAUACUAAUAAAAACAGUAUAAAUAGUUUAGUAUAAAUGUAGCGUGCUGAAAUAAAUAAUUAUGUGUCGGUUAGUGAUUCAGUAAACUGCUUUAAAAGUGAUCAAAAAUAUUAAAACAGUUUUACCGGUAUAAGUCAAUAUUUUGGUGGUAACUACUGGGAAAAAAAUUCCCACCUUUUACC